CCUACGGGUGGCAGCAGUGGGGAAUUUUGCGCAAUGCUCGUAAGAGUGACGCAGCGACGCCGCGUGAAUGACGAAGGCCUUCGGGUCGUAAAGAUCUGUCAGUGGGGACGAAACUUGACGGUACCCACAGAGGAAGCACCGGCUAACUCCGUGCCAGCAGCCGCGGUAAUACGGGGGGUGCAAGCGUUGUCCGGAAUCAUUGGGCGUAAAGAGUUCGUAGGCGGCACGUAAAGUCUGGUGUUAAAGGCAGAGGCUCAACUUCUGUACGGCACUGGAUACUUGCGAGCUAGAAUGCGGUAGAGGUAAAGGGAAGUCCUGGUGUAGCGGUGAAAUGCUUAGAUAUCAGGAGGAACAUCGGUGGCGUAAGCGCUUUACUGGGCCGUAAUUGACGCUGAGGAACGAAAGCCAGGGUAGCAAAUGGGAUUAGAUACCCGAGUAGUC
rnacentral:rRNA from 1 species